rnacentral:tRNA from 2 species
GCCGGAGUGGUGGAAUUGGUAUACACAGGAGACUUAAAAUCUCCCGGUCAUUGACCUCGUGGGUUCGAGUCCCACCUCCGGCACCA